AUGGCCGGCCAAAGCAAGAACAAAGGAAGAAAAGAAGAACAAAAACCCUAGAGUGAAAAUUCAAGAGAAAAUUGGUGGAUUUCAAGUAAUCAAGCCAUCAAAGGUGAAAUUUCUUAACUCUAGCUUGUGAUCUAUCUUUCCUAUGCAUUAUUUGCAUUUUUCAUAGUUGAAUCACAAGAUAUCAUGAAGGAUAGUGUGCUGAUCAAACCCUAGGAGAGAGAAUUUGAUGAUGAUUUAGAUAGAUUUUUAAGAUAUAUGGAUGUUUUUAGUUGUUUAUGGUGUUAAGUGUAAGAAUUAAGCUUGAAAUUCACAUAUUCCUCAUGAGUUCAUCAUUGGCCGAAUCUUCCUUGUAGAGUGUUGAUGGUGGAUUUGAUUUUAUUUCAAGUGAAUUGGUUAGGAAAUGAUGAAUUAUGGUGAGAAAAUCAAGUAGGAAAAAUCAUAGUGUUGAUGCACUCACCAUGGUCGAAAUUCUCAAGAAGAAAUGUGAGGAUGGUUUUGCUAAAUUUUAUGUUAUUUGACAUGUGUUUGGUGAUUUGAAGUAUUGGAAGAGAAAUGGAAUUAUUUGGAGUUGAAUUGGACGUAUUGGCCAAUUAAUCGAGUGAUAGAUCGAGUUAGGCCAACACUGCAUGUAGACGAUAAUCCGAACAAUUCGCGUUCCAUAUCAAGCAUUCAUAUAGAGUUUAGAUUAGUUUUAUAACGGUUUAGCACCAAUGUGGUAAAUUGCUUGAUUUUGCAUUAUGUCUAGGUGGUGAAUCCUCCGAAAAAGGGCAAAGAAAUUACACCCGAGGAUCAAUAGUCGUAGCACUCCAAAAUUCAAACUCCUGAUACAGUGAGUAACCUUAUCAUCAUCUUGAUUAUCUGAAGUGAAUUUUAAUUCGUUUUGUGAUUUUAUGGAAAAUGAGUUUAAAUGGUAAAUCUUUAUGUUUUAAAAGUAAAAUGUGAUUAAAUGAAAUGAUUUUAUAAAAUUGUCUUGAAAUUGAAUGAUGGUUUUGGAAAAUGGAGUAAUUGAAGAUUAAUUGCUAUGUUGUAAAUUAUGGUUUGAAUUGAAUGGCUUAUGAUAAUGUGGGAAUGAGUGGCUGGAUUUGGUAAAUGUGCUGAAAAUGUAUGAACUGUUGAUUUGCCUUGAGAGGCUAUAAAAUAAAAUAAUUGCCAUGUCAUGCUGUUGAAUUUUAUUGAAUUGGUGGGUUAUAAAUUGGCCGCUGCAGUGGACGGGUUCCGUGGACCAGCCUAUUAGAGGAGUACGGUAACCCUAUUAUAUUCUUACCUCAGUAUGAGAGGCACGGAUGGAUAACUCCUGAGGUUAACACUUGAGAGUUCACUUUACGCUAAACCACCACGUGAGGGUGAUCUCAGCCAACGCCAAGGAACGACUAUGUUUUCAAAAUAAAAACAUGAUUUAUGCGUACGUGACUUUUUAACAGCCUUCGCGGACUCGGUUGGGAUAGCCCUUGGCCAAGGUAUCCCUGAUAAUUGAGUAUGAUAAUGAUUUUGGCACGAGCUAAACUUUUCAGGAAAUCAUAAGCCUCGUUGUUUGUUUGGGUGAAAUGAAUCUAUUUUAUCUUAUUAAAAUGAGUUCGAAAUGCUGUGAAUCAUUUUUAUGUUAAUCUAUUUUAUCUGUCUCCAUUUACUCAGUUUUAGAUAUUUUAGAUGAUAUUUGUUUACUCACUAGGAUUAUAUAAUCUCACCACCCUCUUUUCCACCCAUUUCAGGCUCAAGAUAGUCGGUAGAUAGCUCACUUUGUUGAGGACUACAAUUGGACUUACAUCCUCAAAAACUGUAGGUUUAUCGCUUUUGAUACUUUUGGUCGUUCGAGGACCCACGUGUUAUUGUAAAUUAAAUGUUAUACUUUGGUUAUCUAUAUUACAGUAUGUAUGAAUUUAUUUAGCUUUUAUGCUACAAAAAUUAUUUAUCGAUAACUCUAUAAAUAUUGUUUUAUAAGAAAAUAAAAUAUUUUUUUGAAUAUUUUUAUUAUAUUCAAAUAGUCAUAAUUUCAUUUUAAAUGAAGGUUUUAGACGUUUAAACUUAUUUUUGAUUAUGAAUUAUGUGUUUUAUACUCGCAUACAACAUUUUUAGCUGGUUUCGAAAUUUUCGAGGAAAAAUGACCAAAAUGCCCAUGUGAGACAAAAAUUAUUUUUUUAUUGAUUUAAGUUGGAAAUAGCUUAAAAUCUUUUAGAACAUGAUAUUUGGCAACGGUUACUCACAGGGAAAAUGAGAAAUUGAUAUUAAAACCUUGCGGGGUUUCGGUUGACAUUCCGAGUAAUGAGUGUCGAUCGGGACACCGCGACAGUUGUCAUGAGCUCGAGGGGAGUACCGGGUCGUGACAAUUUAAGUGUCGUUUGAUACGGGAUCAUCAUCUCAAAAUCCAAGACAAUUUGUACUUGAUAAUUAGACCACUGUGUUUGAUUCAAAUUUGAUAAUCCUACGAGGUGGUGAUGGAAGAUCAUUAAGAAUGAUUAGAUCACUACUUUCGAGGGUGAUUUGAUUCUCAUCUUAGAAGGUUUAAAUACUUUUUUCCACC
rnacentral:lncRNA from 1 species